AUGGCGUCGUCCUCCACCACCACCUCCGGCCUCUCUGGCCAGAUCACCGAGAAGCUUACCCGCACCAACUACAUCCUCUGGCGGACACAGAUCACACCUCAGCUCCGUGGUGCUGGCUUCUUCGGCUAUGUGGAUGGCAGCACGCCGAAGCCGCCCAAGGUCGUCGUCAACAAGGACAGGGAAGGAGGACAUCACACCCAAUCCCCUUCAUCCGAUCUUGUUCCGGGAAGAUCAGCAGGUACUAGGUUACCUUCUGAAUAA
rnacentral:rRNA from 1 species